UACGAAGGGGGCUAGCGUUGCUCGGAAUCACUGGGCGUAAAGGGCGCGUAGGCGGCGUUUUAAGUCGGGGGUGAAAGCCUGUGGCUCAACCACAGAAUGGCCUUCGAUACUGGGACGCUUGAGUAUGGUAGAGGUUGGUGGAACUGCGAGUGUAGAAGUGAAAUUCGUAGAUAUUCGCAAGAACACCGGUGGCGAAGGCGGCCAACUGGACCAUUACUGACGCUGAGGCGCGAAAGCGUGGGGAGCAAACAGG
rnacentral:rRNA from 1 species